GUUGGCGGCGCGAGGGCGGGGCGUGUUACCCAGCAGGCCCCGCGGCGUCGCUCGGGCCUCUCCACGCCGUGGUCCCGUGGUGGCCGCUGUCCGGUCUCACAGCAGAGCUCUCGGUUUUCUGCGGCGGUAGUGAGAUUUGCUUCGCUUCCUGAAGAUGGAGGGCCCUUUGUCCGUGUUCGGGGACCGCAGCACUGGGGAGGCGAUCCGCUCCCAGAACGUUAUGGCUGCAGCUUCUAUUGCCAACAUUGUUAAAAGUUCUCUUGGGCCAGUUGGCUUGGAUAAAAUGUUGGUGGAUGAUAUUGGUGAUGUAACCAUUACUAAUGAUGGCGCCACCAUCCUGAAGCUACUGGAGGUAGAACAUCCUGCAGCCAAAGUUCUAUGUGAGCUGGCUGACCUACAAGACAAAGAAGUUGGAGAUGGAACUACAUCAGUGGUAAUCAUUGCAGCGGAACUUCUGAAAAAUGCAGAUGAGCUAGUCAAACAGAAAAUUCAUCCAACAUCGGUUAUUAGUGGCUAUCGUCUUGCCUGCAAGGAAGCGGUGCGUUAUAUUAAUGAGAACCUAAUUAUUAACACAGACGAACUUGGAAGAGACUGUCUGACCAAUGCUGCUAAGACAUCCAUGUCUUCCAAAAUUAUUGGAAUAAAUGGUGAUUUCUUUGCUAAUAUGGUAGUAGAUGCUGUGCUUGCUGUUAAAUACACAGAUGGGAGAGGCCAGCCUCGCUAUCCAGUCAAUUCUGUUAAUAUUCUGAAAGCCCAUGGGAGAAGUCAGAUAGAAAGCAUGCUGAUCAAUGGCUAUGCACUCAAUUGUGUGGUUGGAUCUCAGGGCAUGCCCAAGAGAAUAGUUAAUGCAAAAAUUGCUUGUCUUGACUUCAGCCUGCAGAAAACAAAAAUGAAGCUUGGUGUACAGGUGGUUAUUACAGACCCUGAGAAAUUGGACCAAAUUAGACAGAGAGAAUCAGAUAUCACCAAGGAGAGAAUUGAGAAGAUCCUGGCAACUGGUGCCAAUGUUAUUCUAACCACUGGAGGGAUUGAUGAUAUGUGUCUGAAGUAUUUUGUGGAAGCUGGUGCCAUGGCUGUUAGGAGAGUUUUAAAAAGAGACCUCAAGCGUAUCGCAAAAGCUUCUGGAGCAAGUAUCCUAUCUACACUGGCCAAUUUGGAAGGUGAAGAAACUUUUGAAGCAACAAUGUUGGGACAAGCAGAAGAGGUUGUACAGGAGAGAAUUUGUGAUGAUGAGCUGAUCUUAAUCAAAAAUACUAAGGCUCGUACAUCUGCCUCAAUUAUCUUACGAGGAGCAAAUGAUUUCAUGUGUGAUGAAAUGGAGCGCUCUUUACAUGACGCUCUUUGUGUGGUGAAGAGAGUUUUGGAGUCAAAGUCUGUGGUCCCAGGUGGAGGUGCUGUAGAAGCUGCCCUGUCCAUAUACCUUGAAAACUAUGCAACAAGUAUGGGAUCUCGGGAACAGCUUGCUAUUGCAGAGUUUGCAAGAUCUCUGCUUGUGAUUCCCAAUACACUGGCAGUUAAUGCUGCCCAAGACUCCACUGACCUGGUUGCCAAGUUAAGAGCUUUUCACAAUGAGGCUCAAGUUAACCCGGAACGUAAAAAUCUUAAGUGGAUUGGUCUUGAUUUGGUCCAUGGGAAACCACGAGACAACAAACAAGCAGGGGUGUUUGAACCAACCAUAGUUAAAGUGAAGAGCCUGAAGUUUGCAACAGAGGCUGCAAUCACCAUUCUUCGGAUUGAUGAUCUGAUAAAACUACACCCAGAAAGCAAAGAUGAUAAACAUGGAAGUUACGAAAAUGCUGUUCACUCUGGAGCCCUUGAUGACUGAUUGGAUUUCUCUUUUAUUUAUAACAGUGUCAGGUGCAAUGUCUUAGCCUUGGGUGUCUCACAUUAAAGUACAGCAAGCUGUCCACCUGGGUUCCUGUCCUCUUUUGGUCCUCUGAUUUCACUUUCUACUUAGUGUUUC